CCCCCUGUGUCAAUAGCGAGUUUUCCUUAGGCUACAUCUAUACCACCACCGAAAGUGAUUGGUCGCGACAAGGACCGUGAUCAUAUAAGACACCUCCUUACCCAGACGAGUGCUGCUGAGGCUAGUUCUGCCAAGUACUCAGGUUUGGCCAUUGUUGGAGCUGGAGGCAUGGGAAAAUCAACCCUGGCACAAUAUGUUUUCAAUGACAAGAGGGUAGAAGAAUGUUUUGAUGUCAAGAUGUGGGUCUUCAUCUCUCGCAAACUUGAUGUCCGUCGUCAUACACAGGAAAUUUUCGAGUCUGCAACAAAUGGGGAAUGCCCACGCCUUGACAACCUUGACACUCUCCAGGGAAAACUAAGAGAUAAACUGCAAGAAUGAGAGAAGUUCCUGCAGGUUCUGGAUGAUAUUUGGUUUGAUGAUUCCAACAAUCAGACGGAGUGGGACCAACUGCUAGCUCCUCUAGUUUCUCGGCACACUGGAAGCAAAGUUUUGGUAACUUCACGACGGGAUACACUUCCGGCUGCUCUUUGUUGCAGUGAAGUAGUAUUUUGUUUGGAAAACAUGGAAGAUAGGCAGUUCCUAGCACUGUUCAAAUACCAUGCCUUCUCUGAACAAGAAAUCAGAAAUCCACAGUUGUGUGAAAAACAAGAAGAGAUUGCAGAGGAAAUCGUUAAAAGGCUUGGGAAAUCUCCUUUGGCUGCAAAAGUUGUGGGUUCCCAGUUGAAUAAAACAAAUAUCAGUGCAUGGAAAGAUGCUCUAUCUAUACAGAUUGACAACUUAAGUGAGCCCAGGAGAGCUCUGCUAUGGAGUUAUGAGAAGUUAGAUCCACGUCUACAGAGGUGCUUUCUUUAUUGCAGCUUAUUUUCGAAAGGUCACAUGUAUGGCAUCGAGGAGUUGAUUCACCUGUGGGUAGCAGAGGGAUUUGUUGAUUCAUGCAACAUGAGCAAGAGAAUGGAAGAUAUUGGAAGAGAUUACUUCAAUAUGGUCUCUGUUUCAUUCCUUCAACAAGUUUCGAAUGGAUAUACCCAUGUUAUGCAUGAUCUCCUUCAUGAUUUGGCACAGUCACUCUCGAAACAAGACUGCUUCAGAUUGGAAGAUGAUAAGAUGACGGAGAUACCAUGCACCGUUCGACAUCUCUCUGUUUGUGUUGAGAGUAUGAUACAACAUAAGCAAAGUAUCUGCAGGUUACAUCAUUUACGCACUGUUAUCUGCAUUGACCCAGUAAUAGAUGACAUAAAUGAUGUUUUUAAUCAGGUACUACAGAGACUGAAGAAGUUGCGUGUACUAUAUUUGUCAUUAUACAACAAGAGCAAGUUGCCAGAAUCUAUUGGUGAGCUGAAGCACCUUCGAUAUCUGAACAUCAUCAGAAGUUUGGUUUCUGAGCUGCCGAGGUCAUUAUGUACUCUUUAUCACCUGCAAUUUCUUCAGUUCAGUGAUAAACUCCAUAGUUUGCCUGAGGUGCACUGCAACUUAAGUAAUUUACGUCAUCUUGGGAUGUAUGUUGAUAUAUGGUCAAUAUACAAAUCAGAUCGGCAAAUUCCUAACAUAGGCAAGCUAACCUCACUCCAAAACCUUGAGGAUUUUUAUUUGCAGAAGCAGAAGGGAUAUGAGUUACGACAGCUGGGGAACAUGAAGGAGCUUGGUGGCAGUUUAAGUGUCAAAAAUCUUGACAUUGUUACUGGGAGGGAUGAAGCCUUAGAGGCGAAGCUACAUCAGAAAAGUCAUCUCAAAAGCUUGCAUUUUGCCUGGUGUUGCAGGGAUGAUGUUAAUGCAGAGGAUCGUUUACAUUUAGAGGUUUUAGAAGGUCUGAAGCCACCACCACAACUAUUGGCCCUUGCAAUCCAAGGUUAUAGAGCAGCGAAAUAUCCAAAUUGGUUAUUUGAGGAUUCACAUUUUUAGAAUUUGGAAUCCUUUUCACUUGCUGAUUGCAGUAUGUUAGAAGGCCUGCCAUCUAAUAUCAACCUCUUCAGGAAUUGCUGUUCACUUGUCCUCGAGAAUGUCCCAAACCUGAAGAUAUUGCCUUGUCUUCCAGCUACAUAUUAAAAAUUUAAAAAUAAAAAAUGUCCACUGCUUACCUUUAUUUCCAACCAUGAGCUGGGACAACAUGAUCAAAGUGAGGACAUCAAGAGGACUGACCAUGUGGAAUCACAACUUGCUUCUGUAUAUGAGGUAUCUCAAGGACCAAAGAUUUUUUGGAAGGUACUGUCCUCUGAACAUUCAUCAUUUAAGCAGUUGAUCCCAUUGAUUGACGCUGGUACAUCGUCACAUCUUCAAACCAUUGGAAGUGCUCUUGGAAGAUGGCCAGGUGAAAUAUUAGAUGUAAAAGAGGAUAUCAUCAAGGCAUGGUGCUGCCACAAGCAGAGGAUAAGACUAAUUUAUGCAGGGACAGCAGAGCUGCCGCUGGUUCUACCAUCAAGACUUUGUGAACUUACUAUUUCUUCAUGCAAUAUUACAGAUGGAGCAUUAGCUAUUUGCCUUCAUGGUCUCACUUUACUGAAAGAACUGAGCUUAUCAAAGGUUAUGACUUUAACUACACUUCCGUCACAAGAGGUCCUCCAAUAUUCGACAAAGCUUUGUAACCUGAAAAUCAAAGAAUGCUGGUGUCUCCGAUCAUUAGGGGGCAUACGAGCCGCUACCUCUCUUGAGCACCUUAGGUUGGCUUCCUGUCCUUCUUUGGAGUUGGCAAGUGGAGCAUAAAUUAUGCCAUUAUCCCUUCGGUAUCUCCUUAUAGCGGAAUGCGUGCUUGCAGCUGAUUUCUUCUGUGGUGAUUGGCCACACUUGACAAGUAUUUUCAUAUGGGGUUGUAGAAGCACUGCAACCUUGUCCAUUGGUAGUCUAACCUCCCUUGAAUCUUUAUCACUUUCUUUUCUGCCAGAUUUGUGCACGCUCAAAGGAUUGACUUCCCUGCAACUUCGUCAUGUAACUUUAAAAAAUGUUCCCAGUCUCAGCACCGAGUGCAUCUCACAAUUUCGAGUCCAGAAAUCACUCGAAAUUAGCAGUUCCGUGAUGCUCAACCACAUGCCCUCGGGUGAAGGUUUUACAGCCCCCCCACGUCUCAAUAUUGACUGCUGUGAGGAACCAUCCAUUUCAUUUGAAGAAUCUGCAAACUUCACAUCUGUCGUGUGUCUGCACUUUUAUGGUUGCGCAAUGAGGUCUCUACCAACAAAUCUGAAGUGCUUCUCCAGUCUGGCGGAUCUCCAAAUUCUACACUGUUACAACAUAUCAUCUCUGCCAGAUCUGCCAACCUCCCUCCGGCGCAUACAUAUAGUGAAUUGUGGUCUCCUGGAGAAGAGCUGUCGUGCACCUGAUGGAGAAAGCUGGCCAAAGAUUGCGCAUAUCCGCUGGAAGGAUAUUCAUUCAGGGGUGAUUCGUAAAUACAAUGAAAUGUAA
rnacentral:rRNA from 1 species